rnacentral:tRNA from 1 species
AUUUAUAUAGUUUAAAAAACAUUACAUUUUCACUGUAAAAAUAAAGAAAUAAAUUAAUUUCUUUUAUAAAUU